rnacentral:rRNA from 1 species
CCUACGGGUGACUGCAGUGGGGAAUAUUGGGCAAUGGGCGCAAGCCUGACCCAGCAACGCCGCGUGAAGGAAGAAGGCUUUCGGGUUGUAAACUUCUUUUCUCAGGGACGAAGCAAGUGACGGUACCUGAGGAAUAAGCCACGGCUAACUACGUGCCAGCAGCCGCGGUAAUACGGAGGUGGCAACCGUUAUCCGGAUUUACUGGGGUGAAAGGGCGGGUAGGCGGGGACGUAAGUCAGAGGUGAAAACCACGGGCUCAACCUGUGGACUGCAUUUGAAACUGUGUUUUUUGAGUACUGGAGAGGCAGACGGAAGUCCUAGUGUAGCGGUGAAAUGCGUAGAUAUUAGGAGGAACACCAGUGGCGAAGGCGGUCUGCUGGACAGCAACUGACGCUGAGGCGCGAAAGCGUGGGGAGCAAACAGGAUUAGAUACCCUGGUAGUC